AUUGAACGCUGGCGGCAGGCUUAACACAUGCAAGUCGAGCGAGCGGCGGACGGAUGAGUAAUGUCUGGGAAAGUGACUGAUGGAGGGGGAUAACUACUGGAAACGGUAGCUAAUACCGCAUACAAUAAGAUGGGACCAGAUGGGAUUAGCUAGUAGGUGUGGUAAUGGCUCACCUAGGCGAGGAUCCCUACCUGGUCUGAGAGGAUGACCAGCCACACUGGAACUGAGACACGGUCCAGACUCCUACGGGAGGCAGCAGUGGGGAAUAUUGCACAAUGGGCGCAAGCCUGAUACAGCCAUGCCGCGUGUGUGAAGAAGGCCUUCGGGUUGUAAAGCACUUUCAGCGAGGAGGCGUUACUCGCAGAAGAAGCACCGGCUAACUCCGUGCCAGCAGCCGCGGUAAUAC
rnacentral:rRNA from 1 species